rnacentral:lncRNA from 1 species
GCGCGGAGCGGCCCUGGGCGCAGUGAGCCAGUGGCGGGGGAAGGCACCGGUGGGGCCGACGGGCGGGUUGAAGGAGGGAAGCGGGCGAGCGAAGUCCCAGUGCGCGCCGCGGCGGCACGGGUACCCUCCCCUUCCGGGCGUGAGGCGCUGUGAGGAAAGCUGAAGCGAGCGGACUCACACCGGCAGCGAGGCGCCGCUACCGCCGCCCCAGCCCAGCCUCCCUCGGCUUCGGCGCUCCCGUCGUGGGGGUCCGGGUUCCUCAGCACACCCAGCUCCAGCAGCCCCAGAGCCUGUCCCUAGUCCUUCGAAAGCCCCGGCGCCAGUCCGGGCCCUUGGCGGGGAGGAUGACGGAGCUGCAGUCGGCACUGCUACUGCGAAGACAGCUGGCAGCCUCAUGGUUCCUACUCAGAUUCACUUCCGAUAAGGUGGUAGUUUUUAUUUAGAUACGGUUCCUGACUUCUUGGCUAGUUGAAGACCUGAGAGCAGCAGACACAGAAUAAUAGGAAAUAUUUAAAAUGAAAUGAAUAGUUUGUUUCCCAAGAAAUAAAAUAAAAAUGAAAAUUUCUAAUCAAUUCAUUUAUAAAUUCACUGUAUAAUGCUGUUUUCUUUCUUGUAGGUCUCCAAUGAGAAACAUGGCACUGUUUUUCCUGCACUCUACCCACCUAUUGCUGGACUUCUGAUGUAACAAGUUGGCAAACACUGGCUGGAACUGGGCUGCAAUAAAACAUGCCAGUAUCAAUGCUGACAAGAGCCUAACAAGUGCCAACUUACAGAUGAUUACGCAUUUUGAAUUCUAAUGAACUGUUUUAACCUUCAGGAAGAAUUGUAAAGACCUGUACAUAGCACAACAUGAUCCGGAUAAUAUAUAUACUGUUCAUGUACAUCCACAAAUACACCUUGUACCAAAUAAUGCUUUCUUGUAGUAGAAUAAGAAUCGUGUAAAUUCUCAAAGAUUUUAGCAGGUUUUCUUUCCCUAUUCAUUGUUUCUUAUCAGUUUAAAAAAAAAAAAAAAACUCCUUAAAGCAUGUCAGAUGAAGAGCAAUUAGGAUUAAAAGUAUCCAUUUAAUUUCCUUUAAACCAUUGAGGCUUCAUUAAACUCUUUUCACUUACUAAACUUUUGUAUCUUCUUUGUUUUGACACACUCCCCUUUGCUUUUAUCUCUUCUCUCUGCCAGGAAGUUUUCAAGUCAGUUCAAAUACUGAACUACUCAAUAAGCAACUACUUGAUUUUUACUGAUGACUUCAGGGGAAUGGUCAUCACUAGGUGCUUUGUCCCUUUUGUAUUACACUCGCACCCAUCUCUUGGAUUGGAUGUAGCAAUAACAUUUUUUGUUGUUGAGAGCUCUUGAAUUUAGUCAUUAUCCCCAAGAACUAAAAGGAGUUGGUUCUGAAUUCAAUUCAGAUUUCAAAUGACCGAAAUUUAUCCCGAACAAUGCAAAAUCCAGGUUUUAUUUUUGCCCUUCAGUUGUCUAAUGUGAAGGUUGGAUGAAUAUAGCAUGCACAGCUACAGGCUUUCUAUUUAGCUUCUGGGUUUGCUAUUAAAAAUGCUGUUUACCCUCAUUCCCUUCUCCUCAGCCCUUCAUAUUUCUUUGCCUCUCUUCUUCUAUACUGCAGAUUUUUUCCCACCUAUUGUACAAAGAAAUUGUGGUGUAUAUUUUCAUGUAAUUUGAUUUUGGAAUUCUGUCACCUUAUGUAGUGAGUUCUUCCAAAAUAUAAUUUUUUUCCAAUAAUUGUCAAGUUGUUGGCUUUUAUUGUAUUGAAUGAAGGUUAUAAUACUGAGUGCCAGAGAAGUGCAGUUUAGAGAAAUCUCAGGUUGAUUCCUUAUGCAAACAAACUUAAUACUUGAAAAUCACUUGGCCAUGGCAGUAUAUGUAUUGGACUCUAUAUAGAUUCUUAUAUGAAUCUCAAAGCAAUAUAGGGAUAUAAAUGCUCUGUUUGCUAUUGACAUAUUCUGUCACUGACAUAGUGCACUUGGAUUUUAUUAAUGUUUGAGCAUAAGUAUAUUUCAUAAAUUUUCUAAAACAGCAUCAGGAAAUGGUAAAAUGAGCAUGUACGGUGUUGAAGGCGGGCCCAGGUCUCUCUGUGUUUGGUGUAGGGUUGGGACUAGGAAGUAGUCUUUGGUAUAUAAGGGACAGAACUUGAGACAGUACCAGAUGGAACAUGGCAUUUGUGAGAAUCAGGGAUGCAUCUCUGCUUUGUGGGAUUUGAAAAAAUGCUUUGGCAGAAGAGGGAAAGGAUUCCCCCAAGUAGCCGGUACUUUAUAAAUUUUGCAUGUCUUUUUUUAAGCAAAAUAAUUGAGGAUAUAGUUACAGUAAAGAGUGUUUUUUCUAAGGCUCAGUCUGUUCUUCACUCUGAAGCAUUAUAAAAACCCAUAAAUGUGUAAUGACUGAAUGUGAAAUUGUUUGAUUCAUUGCAGCCCAACUUUUUUCAAGAACUUCGCUUGUGACUUUAUUUUUGCAAAGACUGAAAAUUGUUGCCCCUAUGUUCCAGUACUGCAUAACCUACCUGGGACUUUGAAACCCUUUUGUUUUAAAUCAGAAGUCGUUCACAUGAUGGUUGUCUGUGGCAAGAUGGAGUCUGAAUUUUGCUCCCCUGUUGCUGUAAUUCAGCUAGCCAUCAGUUGAGUUAAAACCUGGGAUUUGACUCUUUAGGGAGGAGCAAAUAUCCUAGUACUCAGGGACAGCUAUUCUUUAAGUGCCACUUUAAUGCAGUUACUUUGGUUUAACCAUGUGUGUUUAGGGCUAGAUCUAGGGGAGUAGAAGGAGAACCAGGAGCGAGUGCACGUCUCUUCACACUUUUCCACCCGGUGCCCUGACCCUGCUACAUAUCUUUGAAAUACAGGCCUCCGUAGAUGUCUUUUUCUCUGUCAGAGGUGUCAUCUGUGCCUUUCCCAGUGUUCAUCUGACAGUGAAUCUCAAUGCCUCUACAUUUGAUGUUAAACCACACUCAGGUGACACUGAUCCUUGUGGCUCUUGUCCCGGUGGUGCCUCAUCGUUAGUAUGAGGACAGUUCUCUCUUGCUUUAGGAAAAGGUUUUUUCUCCCUGACCUUGUGCCAACUAUCAGCAACACCUACAUCAUCUUAUGGAUUGUAGGACUGUUGCCUAUUUUCCUAAACUCCUUCCAAGUUCUUACAAAGGCUUAUCUAUUUUUGUGUUCAUAAUGGGAUGGACGAUUUCAGUGGCUUUCUGGCCUCCUUUUGUGAGUUUAAAAUCCAAAUGAGGUUGGUUUCCUUGUCAUUACAAGGUAAUAUCUUUGUGAGGUUAUUCCACUGGUUAUGCGAUCACUUGGGUGUCACAGUAUCUUUAAUGGCCUUCAUUCUUGGUUGUGAAAUUUCAUUUUAUAUGCUCAUUCACCCUCUACAAAUCUACCCACUUUGGGUUGUGGUGCCUGUGUAUCUUUGCCCGUCUGGUCUCCAGUUGGUGGAAUUACCUUUUUUGUACUGCCACUUCUCAGCAUCUUUGAAAUUUGACAUAAUGUUGCUUCAUUCCAGUUUUUUUUUUCCUUUAGUUUUUGUAAUGUGUUGAUUGUAUUUAACUAUGUGAGUUCUGUUGUGAUGUUUACUGUAUUGUAAAGCACCUUGAUCAUGUGAUGGGUGCUCUAUAAAUCAAUAAAUGAUGACUUAGAGGCUGUA